AUUGAACGCUGGCGGUAUGCUUAACACAUGCAAGUCGAACGGCAGCAUGGUCUAGCUUGCUAGACUGAUGGCGAGUGGCGGACGGGUGAGUAACGCGUAGGAAUAUGCCUUGAAGAGUGGGACAACUUGGGGAAACUCAAGCUAAUACCGCAUGUACUCGAGAGAGUAAAGCUGGGGACCUUUAGGCCUGGCGCUUUAAGAUUAGCCUGCGUCCGAUUAGCUAGUUGGUAGGGUAAAGGCCUACCAAGGCGACGAGCGGUAGCUGGUCUGAGGGGAUGGACAGCCACAAUGGGACUAGGAGACGGUCCCGACUCCUACGGGGAGCAGCCUUUGGGAAUAUUGGACAAUGGGGGGAAACCCCGUCCCGCAAUGCCGGGUGUGGAGCAGGCCUGAGGGUUGUAAAGCACUUUCAGUGGGUGGGAGGUUUGGAAGGUUAAGAGCUAUUCAAAUGGACGUUACCCACAGAAGAAGCACCGGCUAACUCCGUGCCAGCCGCCGCCGUAA
rnacentral:rRNA from 1 species